rnacentral:rRNA from 1 species
UACAGAGGGGCAAGCGUUGUUCGGAAUUACUGGGCGUAAAGGGCGCGUAGGCGGCCUUCUAAGUCGAACGUGAAAUCCCCGGGCUCAACCCGGGAACUGCGUCCGAUACUGGAAGGCUUGAAUCCGGGAGAGGGAUGCGGAAUUCCGAGGUGUAGCGGUGAAAUGACGUAGAUAUCUGGAGGAACACCGGUGGCGAAGGCGGCAUCCUGGACCGGUAUUG